rnacentral:lncRNA from 1 species
AGAACAGGGGACUCCAAAAACAGUUCUGACCCUAUCUUACUAAAAUUCACAUAUCUUAAAAUAUAAAUUUCUUUUUUUCUACACCGUUAUUUUUCCAUGAAAAUAGACUCAACAAGCUUUAAUUCCAUAUAUCAUUCACCCUCUAAUUCAUUUUAUACUAUCUUGGGUGAUUUUUCAAAUUCACGUCACUGUGCUGCCUGAAUUCUGUUUCUUUGCAAAAUUUUAUCCUUUCAUGAUUUCCAUGCAUAAUUUAUCACCUAAUAUUUCAUAACAACAAACACCUUCAUCCUUAAUCAUUUUAAUAACCAUACAUCAUCAAAUACUUACACAUCACUCAUUAGCAAAAUCAUCACUACAAACAUACAAAAUAACUAAAUUCCUAUACAUGCCAUAACUUAAACGUGUUUCGAUAUAAAAUACCGAGCAGUUGUAGUUGAUAGUGUGGACGAUCUCCGACUUCUUUAGGAUCCUUGAAGUAGCUUUGCAAUACUAUAAGAGAAAGAAAUAAAAGAAGUAAGCAUAAAGCUUAGUAAGUUUACUAGCAAAUAAAUAACAAUAUUUAACUUAAAUAAUUAAACUCAAUGUCUAUAUCUCUAGUUUACUCUUUAGUUAAUCUCAUACUAGUUCUCUUACUUGUUUACUUAGAAUAUUUGUGUGCAUAACUUACUCAAUCCUUGCUGCAUCGUUGAACAUCAAUUGAUAGUAUAAUAAGUUCUUAAGUCUUACAACUUACCUGAGCUUGCCAUUUAUGCUUUAAAAACAUGAUUCGUUUACAAGCCCGUUGAACUACAUUGGAAUAAUAAGGAUACUCGGGUCUCUUCUGAUAAUAACAUGCCAAAGCCAUGUCCCAGACAUGGUCUUACAUGGGAUGUUCUCGUGAUGGUGCCCAUGCCAUGUCCCAAACAUGGUCUUAUAGGGGACCUCUCAUCUCGGUGCCAACGCCAUGUCCCAGACAUGGUCUUACAUGGGACCUCUCGUCUCGGUGCCCAUGCCAUGUCCCAGACAUGGUCUUACAGGGGACCUCUCAUGAUCUUAAGGAUGCCAAUGCCAUGUCCCAGACAUGGUCUUACAUGGGAUCUCUUUACCCAAAUGUCAUGACAUUCGUAUCCAGUACCAUCCUUAUGUAUCAACGGGACUUUUAAAUUUUAAUUCUCUAUCAUUUCAUGCUUGGAUCAUCAUCAAAUAAAUUCAUAAAAUAAAUUCAUAAUUGCUGGAAAUUAACAGCAUUAAUAAUAAAUAUUGAAAUAUUGCAUUUAUUUACCGUAAACUUACCUCGGUACCAAUUAUAGCCAAAUUCACCAACUUAGUCUUCAACUUUAUUCUUCCCUUUGUCUAACCUCGAGUUUCGUACUUCUUGAUCUAAAAUAGUAAAUUUAACUUAUUUAAUAAUCACAUUCAUCAAAAUAGCCCUCGACUCUAACUUUUUCAAAAUUACAAUUUUGCCCCUAAACUUUUACAUAAUUACAUUUUUGCCCCAAGGCUCGGAAAUUAAACUUCAUCUCUUAUUCUUAUGUUUUAUAACAUUCUGAACAUUUUUCCCUUCUAUGGCAACAUCAAAUUCUAAUUUAAUCCCUUAUCAAUACUAAUUUUAUUUUUGCAUUCUAACUCUAUAUUCUCUCUUAAUUCUUACUAUAAAGUCAAUUUAAUUCCUCAAUUUCACCAUAAAUCCCUAAUUUCGGGAUUCUUUCAAUUUAAUCCCUAUCGAUUCAAAACUUAUAUUUUAUUUUACAAUUACGUUCUUUACUAACUUCUAACUUGAAAUUAAAUCAAUUUAACCCCUAACUAAACCUAUAUAUUUUUCUUUCUCAAUUCAUACCCUUAUUCUACCCAAUUUCUUGCUAAACUCAUAUUUAACUAUUUAAUUUUUAUCAUGUUUUCAUAAUUCCGAAUUUAUUUCAAAUUAAUCCCUAAAAUUCAAAACUUAUAGUUUAGUUUACAAUUCAAUCCUUUAUUCAAUUCCAAUCAAAAUUUCUAUCAAAUACAUCCCUAAUUUAACAAUUUAUUCAACAUGAACCAUGCUUAAUAAUCUACUAACUUCCAAAAUUUCAACUUAAUCAAGUAGUAUUUUGUUCUAGGAUUUCAAAAAAAAUAUCAAAAUUAAGAGAAAAUGGGAUUAAAUUGACUUACCAAAUUACUUUGAACCUUAAAACCCCAAAUUUCCCUUUUUCUUUUCUUUUCUUUCUUUCUUUCUUUCCUUCCUUCCUUCUCUGUUUCGUUUUGCUCUCUGUUUCUUUCUUUCUCCCUUCUCUGUUUUGUUUUGCUCUCUGUUUCUUUUCUUUCUUUCUUUGUCAUAUAUAUAAUAAUAUAAUAAUAUAAUAUAAUAUAAUAUAUUAAUAAUAAUAUAAUAUAAAAACAUAAUUAUUACUUACGCAUGUAUAAUAUAAUAUAUAUUUUAAAUUAAAAAUAUCUUAGAUUUUUCUUUUGUUAUGCCGCCUCAACUUUAGAAAAAGGCAUAAUUGCCUAUUUGGUCCUUUAACUUUUCUUUAAUCUAUAAUUAAACUUUUAUCCUUACUUCAAUUUAGUCCUUUUUCAUAAUUAACUAUCAAAGCGUUAAAAUUUCUUAACGAAACUUUAAUAUUAUCCUGUUGACACUCCGUAAAUAUUUUUAUAAAUAUUUACGGCUCAGUUUAUAAUAUCGAGGUCUCGAUAUCUCGUUUUCGACCCAAUUUACCUAAUAAUUUCUUUUAAAUCACAAAAUUCACUGAUUUAAAAAAUAUUUCUAAAAUCACACUUAACUUAUAAUUAUUAAUUAAUAAAUUUUUCUAACUUUUUCAUCAAUUUUAGUGAUCUCAAAUCACUAUUCUGACACUACUAAAAUUUGGGCUGUUACAACUCUUCCCCCCUAAAAAAAAAAUUUCGUCCUCGAAAUUUCUCACCUGAUACAGGCUAUUAAGUCAAAUCUUUCUUCCACCCUUUCAAUCGAAGUCCAUAAAAAUUAAUCAUAACUCAUAUCACUUCCGAAAUCAUAUCAGAACUCAUUUUAGAACUUGAUACUAUGCCUGAACUUAACUGAGUAACUCUGAUGUUCUCUUGCCAUCACUUUUUCACUAGUAGUAUGACUACUAAGAAAUUUCCAGUAAUUGUCUGUCGAAACAUAACUGAGAAACUCGAAUUAUCUUAUUUAAUACCUUUGAACAAAGACCUUGGAAACCCAUCCAGCGAGAAGAAAACAGAUAAUUUAAACCCAUUGUGGAGACCCAAAAUAUAUUGAUUCCUUCACUGAUGAUUACUCAACUUUUCACUGAAUAACCCACUCUGAUUAGAACAACUGAGUCGAUUUUAUCUAUCAGAUAAUAACAUUUCAGAAUAAUCCAUUCUUCUUGUUGUCAAAACAAUCCAGAUAUACCAUAUAUCAUAAUCCUCUCGGAACACCAAUCGAAAAUUUCCACUAAUAGCAUUUAACUCAAACGAAUUUUGACAUUCCAUUAUUGACUUGUUGACAUAAUUUCAGAAUUACCUGAGAAAUGAAAACCAAAAUACAAGUUUGAGCUCAAUCUUCCUCCAUCUAUACUUUUGCCGAUGUCAACCCUUUCACGAAAACUAGAAAGGAAUUAUAUAUAUAAUAAAACUAUUUCAAUCAUUAACAUCGAAGCUUUGAACUAUACCGAAGCCACAACCAUCAAAUAGAUUAAAAACUAUAGAGCUAUACUAGGACCGACGUUCCAACUAUAUAGAUAGAACAAUACCUCAACAUCAAUAGUGCACUCCAAAAUAGAUGAAGAAAACCGAAGUAGUCCCAAUAACAACCAGUGCAGUAAUACAACUUCUAAAAUCUGAGAUCCAUAUCACCGAGUUCCCAUGAUCAAACCAAGAUUUAUAACAGUAAUAAAUAUAAUUACCUCCGGCCAAUGAAUAUCUUGUACGGAUAAACCAUGGUUAAUAGAUAAGAUUAGACCAUAAGAAUAAUAAGAAAACCGAGAUAAUAAAAUCCAAGAUGUGAAGCUAUACUAAAUUUCCGAUAAGAAAAAACCACAUUGAAUGAUAAAGAGAUCGAUGAUAUCCCAGAGAAAAUCCAAAAGAAGAAUAUCACUUGUAAAUCCAAAAGAAGAAUAUCACUUGUACGUACUAGGAAUAGUUGUGAUAAAGACAAUAUAAAUUCCAUAUAUAUAAUUCGGAGCUUCAACCAGUAGAAAUAGAAAAUAGCUUCAUAUGAGUCUUAUCAUCAAAUCUUCCAUCGAACAUAAUAGAUUAGAAAACCAAAGAAAGAUAGAGGAAUCCCGAUCAUGAAUCAACCAGACUAAUAAUAAUUUCGUCUAACAAUACGAUUAGCCAACCUUGCUAUAUGAUAAGAAUCAUAUAUGAAAAUAAAUAAUUGCAUAUACCUCUGAGGAUAAAAGAGCAUAUAGAAUACCCAUAUAGAAUACCCAGAAGAGAUCAUUGUAAAAUACUCGACUAUAACAACUGCAUUCAGAUAUGUUUGCAAUUUUCAACACAAUCCCACUGAUUACUAAAGUCAUCAAUAAUCUCACAUUAUCUCAAUCAUUAAAGAAAUCAAUUCAGAAGAAAUUCCGAUUAACCUGCUCUUUAAAUUUUAUACCUGAGUAAGUCGGUUACUCGUGAAUAGCUUCUUCCUUAAUAGCGACAUUGCAAAUCCCAAUAAUCAUUUAAAAAAAAUCUAAUAUCCUUUCUAGAACUCUCUUUACUUGCUAUCCCAUCCACAAUUCUGACUGCAUUAUUAUUCCUUCAAUUAUUGAACUCUUCAAUUUCACACUUGUAAACUUAAUGAAUACAAUUCUUGUAAAUUCCAUUGUUCAGGUGAGGGGGUGAAGGUCGUAAAGCCUCAAAAUUUGACUCUUAUAUAUAUACUUAUAUAUAUAUACACAUAACAUGACUUUUAUCGUCAAUAUAUUCAUUACAAACAUUCAUUUCAUACCUUAUAAAUCUUUACUCAUAUAGGCAACUCCCCUUUCUCUAUCAAAUACUCAAAUAUCACUUUCAUCACUGUCGGAACUAGAUCAAUUGGAGACAUUUUUGUCUAUUAGUAAAACAUUUCUCAUUUAUCAAGGUUACUCUUUUAAGUGUAUAAAUGUAUAUUUUCAUCCUUAUCUAUAAGAAUUACUAUUUUAAAUCUCCAUACAGAACUAAAUAACAUUUACUUAUUCACAACUUUAAAUUAUUUUAUUACAAAUACAUACUUCUUUAUUCACAGCUUUGUAACUUAUUUUUCCUUUAUAAUCAUUCAUCAUUGAAUCAAAGAUAAUCUUUUAUCUUGUAACAUUUUUUUUUUUAGCAGAGGCCCAGUAGACGAAACAGAACACUUAAGAAAUAUGGGACUGAUAUAACAUCUGAUGGCACCGUCCCUUCUGCGGGAAUAGGUGCAUUACUCUCUACUUCAUCUGUACUAGCUCGUUCAGGAUCCAUAACUAUAAAAGAAAACAUUUUAAAAUCGUCAGGAGUCGUCACACUAUCAAAAUAUAUAAGUAUGGCAUGUAUAGGUAGACUCUUAUUCUUACUGAGUAUUUCCGAGAACCGACUAAACCUGCUCUGAUACCAAUAAAAUGUAACACCCCUUACCCGAGACCGUUUCCGGAAUCGAGCACGAGGCAUUACUUAGCUUAUCUUACCAAUUCGGAGCAUAAAAACUAGGUUUGAAAAUUUAUUUCAUUAUUCGCAGCAAAUCUGUCUAAUCGCGCAGCAGUUACUAAAUUAAUUAUAACUUGAGCUACAGAACUCGAAAUUUAAUCUCGUAAAUUUUCCAUGAAACUAGACUCAUAUAUCUACUCACCAUAAAAUUUUUAGAAUUUUUGGUUCAGCAAAUUAGUACAGUUUAUUAGUUAAAGUCUCCCCUGUGUCACCACCAGACUGCCCUGACCUCUAGUCACUAAAAAUAAGUUUUCUCACUAUAGGAUUUUCAUAUGAAGUUCUUACUUGUUUCUAUAGAAAAUAGACUCAUUAAUAAAUCUAAGCAUGUAAAUUUCAACUCAUAAACAUUUUUGUACAAUUUUUUAUUAUUUUCUAAACUCAGAACAGGGGACUCCAAAAACAGUUCUGACCCUAUCUUACUAAAAAUUCACAUAUCUUAAAAUAUAAAUUUCUUUUUUUCUACACCGUUAUUUUUCCAUGAAAAUAGACUCAACAAGCUUUAAUUCCAUAUAUCAUUCACCCUCUAAUUCAUUUUAUACUAUCUUGGGUGAUUUUUCAAAUUCACGUCACUGUGCUGCCUGAAUUCUGUUUCUUUGCAAAAUUUUAUCCUUUCAUGAUUUCCAUGCAUAAUUUAUCACCUAAUAUUUCAUAACAACAAACACCUUCAUCCUUAAUCAUUUUAAUAACCAUACAUCAUCAAAUACUUACACAUCACUCAUUAGCAAAAUCAUCACUACAAACAUACAAAAUAACUAAAUUCCUAUACAUGCCAUAACUUAAACGUGUUUCGAUAUAAAAUACCGAGCAGUUGUAGUUGAUAGUGUGGACGAUCUCCGACUUCUUUAGGAUCCUUGAAGUAGCUUUGCAAUACUAUAAGAGAAAGAAAUAAAAGAAGUAAGCAUAAAGCUUAGUAAGUUUACUAGCAAAUAAAUAACAAUAUUUAACUUAAAUAAUUAAACUCAAUGUCUAUAUCUCUAGUUUACUCUUUAGUUAAUCUCAUACUAGUUCUCUUACUUGUUUACUUAGAAUAUUUGUGUGCAUAACUUACUCAAUCCUUGCUGCAUCGUUGAACAUCAAUUGAUAGUAUAAUAAGUUCUUAAGUCUUACAACUUACCUGAGCUUGCCAUUUAUGCUUUAAAAACAUGAUUCGUUUACAAGCCCGUUGAACUACAUUGGAAUAAUAAGGAUACUCGGGUCUCUUCUGAUAAUAACAUGCCAAAGCCAUGUCCCAGACAUGGUCUUACAUGGGAUGUUCUCGUGAUGGUGCCCAUGCCAUGUCCCAAACAUGGUCUUAUAGGGGACCUCUCAUCUCGGUGCCAACGCCAUGUCCCAGACAUGGUCUUACAUGGGACCUCUCGUCUCGGUGCCCAUGCCAUGUCCCAGACAUGGUCUUACAGGGGACCUCUCAUGAUCUUAAGGAUGCCAAUGCCAUGUCCCAGACAUGGUCUUACAUGGGAUCUCUUUACCCAAAUGUCAUGACAUUCGUAUCCAGUACCAUCCUUAUGUAUCAACGGGACUUUUAAAUUUUAAUUCUCUAUCAUUUCAUGCUUGGAUCAUCAUCAAAUAAAUUCAUAAAAUAAAUUCAUAAUUGCUGGAAAUUAACAGCAUUAAUAAUAAAUAUUGAAAUAUUGCAUUUAUUUACCGUAAACUUACCUCGGUACCAAUUAUAGCCAAAUUCACCAACUUAGUCUUCAACUUUAUUCUUCCCUUUGUCUAACCUCGAGUUUCGUACUUCUUGAUCUAAAAUAGUAAAUUUAACUUAUUUAAUAAUCACAUUCAUCAAAAUAGCCCUCGACUCUAACUUUUUCAAAAUUACAAUUUUGCCCCUAAACUUUUACAUAAUUACAUUUUUGCCCCAAGGCUCGGAAAUUAAACUUCAUCUCUUAUUCUUAUGUUUUAUAACAUUCUGAACAUUUUUCCCUUCUAUGGCAACAUCAAAUUCUAAUUUAAUCCCUUAUCAAUACUAAUUUUAUUUUUGCAUUCUAACUCUAUAUUCUCUCUUAAUUCUUACUAUAAAGUCAAUUUAAUUCCUCAAUUUCACCAUAAAUCCCUAAUUUCGGGAUUCUUUCAAUUUAAUCCCUAUCGAUUCAAAACUUAUAUUUUAUUUUACAAUUACGUUCUUUACUAACUUCUAACUUGAAAUUAAAUCAAUUUAACCCCUAACUAAACCUAUAUAUUUUUCUUUCUCAAUUCAUACCCUUAUUCUACCCAAUUUCUUGCUAAACUCAUAUUUAACUAUUUAAUUUUUAUCAUGUUUUCAUAAUUCCGAAUUUAUUUCAAAUUAAUCCCUAAAAUUCAAAACUUAUAGUUUAGUUUACAAUUCAAUCCUUUAUUCAAUUCCAAUCAAAAUUUCUAUCAAAUACAUCCCUAAUUUAACAAUUUAUUCAACAUGAACCAUGCUUAAUAAUCUACUAACUUCCAAAAUUUCAACUUAAUCAAGUAGUAUUUUGUUCUAGGAUUUCAAAAAAAAUAUCAAAAUUAAGAGAAAAUGGGAUUAAAUUGACUUACCAAAUUACUUUGAACCUUAAAACCCCAAAUUUCCCUUUUUCUUUUCUUUUCUUUCUUUCUUUCUUUCCUUCCUUCCUUCUCUGUUUCGUUUUGCUCUCUGUUUCUUUCUUUCUCCCUUCUCUGUUUUGUUUUGCUCUCUGUUUCUUUUCUUUCUUUCUUUGUCAUAUAUAUAAUAAUAUAAUAAUAUAAUAUAAUAUAAUAUAUUAAUAAUAAUAUAAUAUAAAAACAUAAUUAUUACUUACGCAUGUAUAAUAUAA